rnacentral:rRNA from 1 species
UCGUGUCGUGAGAUGUUCGGUUAAGUCCGGCAACGAGCGCAACCCACAUCUUUAGUUGCCAGCAGUUCGGCUGGGCACUCUAAAGAAACUGCCCGUGAUAAGCGGGAGGAAGGUGUGGAUGACGUCAAGUCCUCAUGGCCCUUACGGGUUGGGCUACACACGUGCUACAAUGGUGGUGACAGUGGGUUAAUCCCCAAAAGCCAUCUCAGUUCGGAUUGGGGUCUGCAACUCGACCCCAUGAAGUCGGAAUCGCUAGUAAUCGCGUAACAGCAUGACGCGGUGAAUACGUUCCCGGGCCUU